rnacentral:rRNA from 1 species
UACAGAGGUCUCAAGCGUUGUUCGGAUUCAUUGGGCGUAAAGGGUGCGUAGGCGGCGCGGUAAGUCGGAUGUGAAAUCUCGGAGCUUAACUUCGAAACUGCAUUCGAUACUGCCGUGCUUGAGGACUGGAGAGGAGACUGGAAUUUACGGUGUAGCGGUGAAAUGCGUAGAUAUCGGGAGGAACACCAGUGGCGAAGGCGACUACCUGGCCUGUUCUUGACGCUGAGGCGCGAAAGCUAGGGUAGCAAACGGG